GGUUAUAUGUAGCAUUAUUUAUAAUAGUGAAUGAUUGGAGACAAAUUUGCAUCAAUAGGUGAAUCAUUAAAUUGUGAUACAACCAUACCAUGAAAUGUUAUGCAGUCAUUUUUUAAAUGAGGUAAAUUUCCAUGUAUUAAUGCAAGAGGAGGUCCAGAAUACAAUGCAAAGUGAAAAAAGUUGCAAAACAGUACAUAUAAUAUCCCAUUUCAUUUAAAAAAAACCUAUAUACAAAUGUGUGGGUAUUCAUAUAUGUAUAUAUGUGUAUAUUAAUAUAUAAACACAAACAGAACAACAUCUGGGAAGACACACACCAAAUUAAGUUAUUCUUGGAGAAUGGGAGUGGUGAGAGGGACUAAGGAAAAAUCUUUCACUUUUUACUUUACACAUUUAUGUUUUGCUUGAAUUUUGUUGGCUAACAUUAAUAAUUUUUGAAUUUUUAUCACAAUAAAACAUUUUAACAAAAUAGGCACUUUUGUAAUCAGAUCAAUAGAGUUAUAAUGUAUGUGUUUUAAAUAAAAAUAGCUCCAUGGGGGCUGGGCGUAGUGGCUCACACCUGUAAUCAAUCCCAGCACUUUGGGAGGUCGAGGUGGGCAGAUCAUACGGUCAGGAGUUUGAGACCAGCCUGGCCAAUAUGGUGAAACCCCGCUUCUACUAAAAAUACAAAAAUUAGCCGGGCGUGGUGGCAUGCCCCUGUAGUCCCAGCUACUCUGGAGGCUGAGGCAGGAGAAUCGCUUGAACCUGGGAGGCACAGGUUGCAGUGAGCCAAGAUCACACCACUGCACUCUGGCCUGAGCGACAGAGCAAGAUUCCCUCUCAAAAAAUAAAUAAAUAACGCCAUGGGGUGACUACUUCAUUUUAAAAUUUUAGCUAGAAGACUUAGGAUACAAUUAGAACAACUGUAAACCAAAUCAACUCUGAGUUUCAAUGGGGGUAUACUCAUGACUUGAUAUAACAGGAUGUGGGCAAACAAAAUCUAAUCAGGAUAAUCGUUCAUUUCUGAAAGAGAAAACUACACUACAGCAAACUCCAUCAUAUAAAGGAAAAAUUGUGCUUUCACUUUUUUGGUGGCAUCACCUCCAAUGUUUACUCAACUCCUUGGCAAGGGUGGGAAAUCAUAAAAAGCUAGAGAUUUAAGAUACCUCAGAGAUCAUUUGGUCAAAAUCCCUCAUUUAGUCGAAAUCCCUCAUUGUAUAGUUCAGAAAACAGGCCUAAAAUGGUGAAGCAAUUCAACUAAGGUCCUAUAGCUAGCUAUAUAGCCAAUUUUAGAAGUCAGGUUUCUAUUCCAGAUGUGCCUGAAUCUCUUACUCUGUCUCUAGCAUUUUCCUGCCUUGUAUAGACAUCUCUUCAUUUUGUUUUGAGGCUGGAGUGCAGUGGUACAAUCAUGGCUCACUGCAUGGCUCACUCCACAACCUCCUGGGCUCAAGCAAUCCUCCGGCUUCAGCCUCCCAAGUAGCUGGGACUAUCAUGUGCCACCAUACCUGGCCAGAUUUUUAAUUUUUUUUUUUUUUUUUUUUUGUAGAGAUGAGAUCUCACUCGGUUGCCCAGGCUAGUCUCCAACUCCUGGGCUCAAGCAAUCCUCCCAAAGUGCUGGGAUUACAGGCAUAAGCCACCACGCCCAGCUAAACAUCUCUUCAACUGAACUCUUAAGGUCUACGAAAAAAGAGAAUGUAAUAUCAUAUUUUACUUGUACCACAACCACUCCACCCUAUCCCCAGCCCUGCUGUUAGCAUAGGACCAGACACACAGAAGACUAUUAGCACUUGUUAAAUGAGUUGUCAUCUGUCCAAAUUUUUGUUAACACUUUAUUUUAUAGCUGCUUUUCUAUUUAUUCUGCAGUUCAUUCUCUAACACUGCUGCCUAUGAAGGUUGCAUCUCUCUUUACCCUUCCUUUCCUUUAUUUCACAGAAAUACCCAUUCUUCCCUAUCCCCUCAGAUAUUUUUAGUCAUCUCAUUCAUGAACUACCAAAAACCUCAACUUCCUCACAGCCCCCACUCUUCUACUUAGAACCAAAUACUGCUAAGUAACAUUAAUUUCCUUUUUUUUUUUCUUUUGAAAUUUUUUGUAGAGACAGUGUCUCACUCUGUUGCCCAGGCUAGUCUCAACCUCCUGGGCUCAAGCAAUCCUCCUGCCUCAGCCUCCCAAAAUGCUGGGAUUACAGGCAUGAGCCAACCACAUUCAGCCUUAAUUUGCUAAUGUUUUGAACACAUCACUUUCUGUACCUUCUUUCCAUGUUGAGCUACAUCAAAACUAGCUUUGAUUUUCUAAAUGACAAGACUGCUACCUCCCCUCAUUCCAACCCUUGCCAAAACCCACUCUGUGUAGGGAAACCAUUUCAGAGCUCACUGGUCAGAUGAAUAUCCACCCACCAAAAGUUCUGAGAGUUCACCCACCUUUCUGCCUGUGUCAAAUUUAUUUGGGAAAAAAAACAGUGUCAGUUGAGAUAAAAAGCCUAUAGAAGAAAUGUUUGUUGGUGUUGUGUGGGUGUGUCAGAGGAUGAACACAUGCAUGUGUGUUUAUGUACAUGUAUUACAUAUGCAGACACACACAUACACACAUACACACACACAUAUAUAAUAAAUAUAUUCUGCCCAAAUUAGCACAAACCCACAAGCUUAAAAACCAAAUCUGCUAAAUCUGACUCAAACAACAGGUACUGAGCCUACAGCUACUUCCUGCAAGCAGAUGCAUUACCUCUGUGACAAAGUCAGUUGUGAGUUGCAAAAAGGAUAGGUAAAUAUCAUUAAGAUAAGUUAAGAUUCUGCUUUCUAAAAAAAUUUAAAUGCAAAACAUUACCUCAGGACACUGGCCACACUGUAUGAUUUCUGCAUAAUACCCAGCAUAUCCUAGACACUAAAGAAUACUAAAUUUACAACUUAAGCAGGAAAACAGAGGCUUGCUUCACAGUGGUUUAAUAUGAACAGAGUUGAAUAUGACAUUGUCUGACAGAAGAAUGAACAGUUUGCUGAAUAAAAGCCCCGAGUCAGGAUAUAUAUACACAGCAGAAAUGGGGCCUCAGACUCUCAGCACUUGUGCACAAUGAAAGAGGAAAUCGUUUUUAAAAAAUGUCUAUAACAGAGGAUACAAAUCAAAAAGGCAGCUAGAGUGGGAGCCACAAAGGGAGAGGGGCUAGGCAAUAGGAGCUCCCCUACUGCCC
rnacentral:lncRNA from 1 species